AAGACUAUCUCUUCUUCGUGACUCUUUUAAUAAUAAUAAGCUGUUCCCAGAUUUCUCCUCACAUUUCACUGAACAGAACUGAGCCACAUGCUCAUACCCAGAGGAAUGGACUAAACCCAGGAUCGGCUAAAUCCAAUCACUUUGGAAUUGGAAAUCAGCGCCCAUAAAGGACAUGUGAAUGAACAAAAAUUGGAUUUAGGUUGCGAAGAAAAAAGAGAAUUUAUUGUAGGGCAGAUGAUUAACAGGAAUUUCUAUAGACUCCUUCAUCAUUGCUGGUGGAGAAUAAUUUUUGGAGCAAUGAAAGAGUUGCAGCCCAAAGGCCUGAGCCAUGCUUUCCUUUUUCUGAGCUCUACCCUCAUGUCUGUGUGUCCACCAUGCCCACUGGAUGGCCGGAUUCACCAGUGGAUUCCUCACCACUGUCAUUUUACAUACUUCUCAUCAUUUCCUUCUAAACCAUCUAGAAUCCUGCUGGAGCUUUAAGGAAGAGGUCAAUGGCCUAUAGAAAAGACUCUCCCAUCUUGAGAAUAAAUAUACAUUCUGGACUUA